rnacentral:rRNA from 1 species
CCGCGCCCGUCCCGCCGCCCCCGCCCGACGGGGUGCAGCAGGCGCGAAAACUUGGCAAUGCGAGAAAUCGUGACCAGGGAACUCCAAGUGCGUAGGGUAAGACCUACGCUUUUCUUGACUCUUCAAAGGUCUUGGAAUAAGGGGUGGGUAAGGACGGUGCCAGCCGCCGCGGUAAUACCGGCGCCUCAAGUGGUAGUCGCUUUUAUUGGGCCUAAAACGUCCGUAGCCGGUCUGGUGCAUUCGUGGGUAAAUCAACCCGCUCAACGGGUUGAAUUCUGCGAGCACGGCCAGACUUGGGACCGGGAGAGGUGUGGGGUACUCUCAGGGUAGGGGUAAAAUCCUGUCAUCCUGAGAGGACCACCUGUUGCGAAGGCGCCACACUAGAACGGAUCCGACGGUCAGGGACGAAACCUAGGGGCACGAACCGGAUUAGAUACCCGGGUAGUCCUAGGUGUAAACGCUGUGGACUUGAUGUUGGGGGCGCUCCGAGCGCUCUCAGUGUCGAAGCGAAGGUGAUAAGUNGNU